CCGCGGGCGGCUGGCGGCGCUGGCUGGCGGCACCUGAGGCGGGCGGCGCUGGCCUGGAGGCUGGCAGACGCACCCGGCAGGCGCUGGGCCCGACCACAUGAAAGGCCAAGGCGCUCCACCCGCCAGCUGCCUCGAGCUGGGUUCUGAAGGCGCCGCCGCGCACCCCAAGACCCGGCCUUCGAAAGGCCGCCUUCCUCCCCGAGGCCCAGGGAUGGGGCCCCGGGUCAGGUGACCCACAGGCGGGAGCGCAUUGUUGUCCCUGCCCCUGGCCCCUGUUGGACCCAGGAGGAAACCGAGGACCAGGGAGGAGAAACAAAGUCACCAGGACCCUGCGAUUGCCAAGUGGCGGAAGUUAGCCCAGUGCGAGCCCGGCUCUUCCCACCGCACCGAGGGUCGGCGCGAUUUCAUCCUCCGUCGGAGCUCAAGAUGGACGCUGGGAGGAGCGCUGUCUGGGGGGGGGAAUUGGGCAGCCAAGCCAGGGGCGACAGCAGCGCCAACAGCAACAGCAGCAGCAGCAGCAGCUCGAAACCUGCAAGCCAAGCACCUGAUCCCCCCACCCCCCACUUAUCAGCGAGGGUAGCUGAGCCCUCAGGCGCUGAGGCUCUGUCAUUGUAAUCCCAAACGGUGGCUUCAGAGCCUGCCUGCAAUUACUCUGCAGGCACAGGUUCCCCUCACCCCACCCCAAACGGAGAAGCCUCAACUGUCAGCGGAUCCGACUUCAACCCCACAUCAUUAAGAAGGAGAAAAUCAGGAAACCGUUCUGUUGGAGCGACCCAGCUUCAGGACGCUUACCCCUAAGGGGCACCAAUGAAUAGAUCUUGUCUGCAGCCUCCGAGGUUUUUAAUCAGCAGAUGAGAUCGAAGUGAGAUGAAGACACAUCCUAAGAUUUUUGUCUGUUUCCAGAGUGUAGAAGAAUAGAGAAAGCAAGAGGUGCAGAAGUACUCGCCGGUUCUUUCCGAAUGAAGCAACAAGGGGGUUAUUAGCUUGCUCCUUACGGGGGCUCUAAACCGGUCACUUUUCUAAAGUGGUGGGAUUCCCCCAACAACCCCAUGAGGUGGGUACCACUAUGGCUCACAAGCUACAGUGAGGAAAUUGAGACUCGGGUGAAGUGACUUGCCCAAGGUCACACGGCUCAGUGGCAGAGCCGGGACUUGAACCCACGCGUGGGCUCCAGUGCCCCUGCUCCUAUUCCAGUUGUCAGUGCAUUGUCAACCCCACGGAAUGUGUUGAAGAGAAAUCCGAUGCCCGGUGAUUGUGCUAUGAACAGAGUUGGCUAACCUAGGAGAACUCAAAGAGUCAGCUGGUACUCUGGAACACUGUUUGCAGUUAGGACCCACCACCUCCCCAGUCUGGUCUCCUGUUCUUAGAACGAUCUAUUGAGGACCAUCUAGAAAAAGAAAAAGAUAGUUCAACCCUUGUCUCUGCCCACUCACCUCUGAGCGUGGCAAGAGGAGGAGAGUCUGUGUUUUAGAAGCCUGGCUUCUCUGCCAGCUCCCUGAGCCCAAGCUAAAGCAGCCUCAGAUCCCAUCCACAUCCCACCUUCUCUGAGGUCUGGACCCAAAACAGGUGGUCACGAUGAAGGUCAGCAUCAGCCAGUGAGCAGUCUAAAUCCCAGAUAUGGGCAGGAAGGCACCUGCAUCCUGCCAGGUAAUAGAGAUGACCUCACUGAAAACCACAUCUCAGCUUCUUCAGCCUUAGAACUGCCCCUGAAUAAAAUUUUAUUAAUGCAUCUUCACACCUUUGCUCUGUGCUUUAGCAUUUUACAGCUUUUAUCACACUUAACUCACUCAGGAAUCCUACAAAGCAUUCUUGUACCCAUUUUCUGGAUGAGGAAAACGAGGAUCCAGUAAGUUAAGUGACUUGUCCAAGAUCACAUGCCCCAUAAGGAACAGUUUGGAUAUGAACCUAGGUCAGGCUGACUACAGAGGGCAUAUGUUUAAACACCACUCUGUAACCUUCCCACUUGGGGCUGUUCCAACCCAACAAACAAGUCCCUUUAGAGAAACCCAACUCUCUGCCUAAGACAGCUCUUAGAACAACCUCAAAGAAGUUCCUUUUGGCAAGAAGAUAGAAAGCCUAGAUGGGAUUGGGGCUGUCUCUGAUUUCCAAGUCCCUUCAGAGUAUCAGAAAGAGGUGCCGAAAGCCUUCACAGUUUCAGUCCUGUGUUUCCCUACCUGGCUCGAAACUGCUCAGCAGACAGAGGAAAAAAAAAAAAAAAAAAAAAAAAAACUAUUUUCCCAGGGAAACAUUCAACUCUAGCUUGAGAUAGGGCUUGCCUCAACACGCCAAAGUGAAAUCGUCAGCCCAUUCAUUUACCCUUACAAAUUGCUCUGUGAAUCCUGGCGCCGGCCUCCCUGCGCUUCCCCCUUCUGGAAACCCCAUCGAGCCUCCACGCUCAGAGAGCGCCAGGCAUCCACCAAUGUUUACUCACUCAAGUUCAUUCGACAUCUUCUUGCUCCCAGGCUCCCAGGCUCCAAGAUGAAGACGGGCACCAACACCGAGGCUCUGCUGACCGCUUGUCUCUAAUUCUUGCCUGACACAGACAUUCCCUGCCCAGGGAAGUGUUUGAUUUAUGUUGAGGUUUGAGUGUCGGGAUUUUGCUGACAGGUAGGUUCCCGGCAGCACUGGUGCUGAUUGGCUAUGGGUACAGGUGCCGGCGACAGCAGGUAUGCCUCAACAGGUGCAAGCUGUUAACUCUUGGCCUGCCGCGUUGGGGGUGGAGCCAAGGGGAGCUGGCUGGGUGGAGCUGGCCAAUUCCUUCCUAGGUGAGGGGGAGGGAGGAGGAAGGGCGGAAGAAAAUGCUAGAGAGAAGAUAGAGGAAAAAUACAGAGACAGAUACUUGGCUAAAGAAAAUCUCAAUUUCUGUUUCUACUUAGUAUCCUGGAUACUUAGGAACAUCCCCAUGGCCCCCAAUUCUGUUGCCCCUUCUACCCAGUAUCAAAUACUUCACAGCCAACCGGGGAAUUCUCAAAGGAGAGAGCAUAUCCCCUCCCUCCCCCAGCUGGACCCUCACCCUGGGGUAGGGGGGCUGUCUCUGUGUAAGCUCCCUUUCUUUUUUUCAGAGCUUUUCCCUUAAGAAGAUAAUAGCUUCUUUCUGAACAAUGUUUUACAGUUAUUCAAGUGAGUUAUUUUGAUUCUCACAGUAACCCACUGUGGUAGAUAUUCCUGCACACCUUCCUUCCAACACACUUCACAGAUCUGAAUAUGAUAUGAACAACCCACAUGCCUUUGGCCAGCACAGAAGAGAUGGAGAGGUUGAAGUUGACCACCGCCAAUGCCUUAGCCAGCUGGUCAUUUCAUGUAGUCUAAUAAGUGCUUUCUUCUUCAUUGGAAACACAGAAGAAUCAGAUGCCUGUUAGACUAAGAAAUUGUGGAAUAAUUGCUGUGAGCUGCCUCCGUAAAGAACAAGAUUUCCUCUCCCAGAGACCUUGCCAGGUGGAGGAAUUUAUUGGUGGUAACAAGCACCGGCCCUUUUUACGAAAAAGGCCUUCGUGCCCGACAUAUAUGCCAGGUGGGCGAACAGUCCCAGAGAAGCAAGGCGAUUUGCCCAAGGUGAGCGACGGAGCUGCCACUUGAACCCCGGGCCGGAAUUACUCCAGAACACCUGGCAGCUACAGCUUCCUAGACAAACUCUCUGGAAGCCUUGUUCGGGUGAAGCUCUGCCUCCAUGGUGAUGGAGACCCGGAUCUGCCCAUCUUUUGUGAAAUCUCAGACUCUUCUCCGGAAGGCCCACCUGGUCGACUUCCAGUCCUCCGGCAGCGGGGACAGUGGCAGUGCCGUGAGUGCAUGUGUCUUGUCUGAACUGGUCCAGGAAGGCACAGAGGGCGGCCUCUCACUCCUGUCUGUGGGAAAGACGCCAGCUCUAGCAGUAGAGAUUGUGGUACAGACUUGGUUUCCCAGUCACUGUCAUGUCCAAGGGCCAGGAACAACGAAUACUUUCCUCCUUGUCCUCUGUCCAGCAAAUGCAGCAUCCAGAGGCAGCCCAUAGUGAAAAGAACAUUCCAUGGGAAUUCUGCAACAUGGAUAUCCUCUCCAGGCCCCAGUCCAGCCUGAGCCUGUUCCUCUUCUAGCUGGCAAGUUCCUUUCUCCUCCUCACUUCCCUGAAACUCUUAGGCUCACCUCAAGCCCACUCCCUCCUUGCUUCUUCUCCUAUCUUCUCAGGAAGUAGCUCCCUCUUCUUCACAGCCCCUGGCUCUACCCUCCUCUGGUUCAACCUUCCUGGGCAGUUUGCUCCAUUACCUCUCCUGGACCCAAAUUGCUUAUGAAUUCUCUAAAGUCAUGUCAGGAAAUCCCACAGAUGCACCCUAGACAACACAAGAAUGCCCCAGAUGUUCUAGGCAGCAAAGUUUCUGGGAUCAAAAUUGUCUGGGCAAAGCUGCACACCAGACCCUCUUCUUAAAAAUUAACAAUGCACAGUCAAGUCUCUGAAAAGUCCAGUAAUCAAGAAACCCGUUUUGUUUGCUUUUUCAACCCAGGGUUUGUGAGAUGGCCAUGUAAUCAUCCUCCCUGUCUCUACCAUAUACCUGUAACAGUAGAACCAGUGAUCCACUGUGGAACACAUUUUGGGAAAUUCUACCCCCAGCCUUCCACCAAACUUUGCAGUUAAUCUUGCUUUCAUUGAUUUAAGCCUUUCCUAUUUCUUGAAGAUAAUCUUAUAAAAUAAUAUGAGGUGAUGCCUGCCCAGGAGGGUGUUCCAGAAACAUAUACUUGAUGGGGAUGAAGAUUUUCUUAAGACUUGAGGAUGAUGAUGCCCAGAAUAGAUCACAGAUUUUCCAGAAUGUGGAAAGAGAGGGAGUAGAAUUUUAAACAACAGCAGAUACGGUUUACCAAAUUUUUACUUGUUUCCUAGUCAGAGGAACCAAAGCCAGAUGUGGAAUGUAAUGGAGAAUUAUUAAACCAGACCUCCAUCACAGAUAAAUUGUUUUUGAGUGAAUGAGUAAACAGACUUUCUGACCAGUUAGAGGGUUGGGAGACUGUGAAUGAAUGUCUGCAUGCACGCAGGAAUGAAUGAAUGAACGAAUGAUCAAGUAACUGGUCCCCGGUUUAGAAACUGCCACCCAUGUUCAAUGGACAAAGCCAGAUGUAAAAAGAGGACGCCAUGAAUGAUUCCAUUUAUGUGAAGGUCAAGAGCAGAUAAAGCUACUCUACUAUGGAAAAAACAGAGCUGUGGUUGCAUUUUUUUAAAAAAUUUAUUCAUGAAAGACACAGAGAGGCAGAGACAUGGGCAGAGGGAGAAUAUUAUAACAUCCUGCAGGGAGCCCGAUGUGCAACUCCAUCCCAGGACUCCAGGAUCAGACCUGAGCCAAAGGCAGAUGCUCAACCACUGAGCCACGCAGGCGUCCUGUGGUUGCAUUCAAAAGGGCUUUUGGGGCAAUAGAAAUCUUCUCUAUCUUGAUUCCGAUGGUGGUUACUCGGGUGUAUACUUUUGUCAAAAUUCACCAGAUUGUACAUUUAAGAUCUGUGCUCUUAUCUGUAUUAUACAAUUUAUCUAAAAGUAAAAACCUUACCACUUAGGUCUCCCAGGCAAGAAUUCACUCUCUUGUCCAUUAUUUUCUCAAAACACUUUUUCUAUACAGGCAGCACAUCACUGUAACACAACUGCCUACCAGGGGAAUUCUUUAUGUCUGCUCCCCCCACUGCGUGUGAGCUUCCCUCUAGAACCCUCACAUAGCAAGCAAUGAACUAGCAUUGGUGAGAUUGAGUUGAGGCCAGAUCCAUAAAUAUAAAACAAAACAACAGUAGUUAUCAUGUAUUAAGUACCUGUGAUGUGUCAGGCUGUAUACAAAGUUCCUCACACAUUUCAUUAUAUAUACAUGUGUAUGUAUACAUAUAUAUUUUUUCAUUUCAUUAUUUAUACAUGAUUUAUAUAUAUAUUCCCCACAAGAUAAAUACAAAGUAGCCAUUAAGUUUGAAAACAGGGACACCUGGGUUGUUCAGCGGAUGAGCAUCUGCCUUUGGUUCAGGGCGUGGUCCUGGGGCCCCGGGGUCCCAUGAUCAAGUCCCACAUCAGGCUCCCUGCAUGGAGUCUCUCUGCCUGUGUCUGCCUGUGUCUCUGCCUCUCUCUCUGUGUCUCUCGUGAAUAAAUAAAUAAAAUCUUUUAAAAAAUUUAAGAAACAUGAGUUUCUAGCAAGAAGGAUUGUUUACCAAUCCCAUUCUUCCACCCUCCAAAGUAGGUGCUGGGAGGGUGGAAUGAGCAGUGGUUGAAGUCUUUCUAAGCUCUAAACUAAGCUAAUGGGACGCCUGGGUGGCUCAGUGGUUGAGCGUCUCUGCCUCUGGCUCAGGGCGUGAUCCUGGGGUCCCAGGAUCAAGUCCCACGUCGGGCUCCCUGCAUGGAGCCUGCUUCUCCCUCUGCCUGUGUCUCUGCCUCUCUCUGUGUGUCUCUCAUGAAAAGGUAAAUAAAUUAAUCUUUAAAAAAUAAGUUUGAAAACAGACUAAUAAUAAAUACAAAUGGUUUAGCUAUAUUACAUUAUAAUACAGGCAAAAUGAUAGUGUAUUUCUGACUUUAUAGUCAGUGUGUGAUUGUGUGCAUAUGUGUCUGUGUGUAUUACUAUCAGUCUCCAUUUUAUAUGGAGAUCAUGAGAUUCGACUUCCCAGAAACAUGUAGGACCAGGAGGCAAACCCAGGGUGCUUGAUCUCAGAGGCGUUGAGCCAGACUGUUUCCAAAGUGGCACCACAUAAAUCCAGAAGAAAUGUCGUGAGAUCUUUCUGGCCAAGAGACUUGAAAACAGUUUCCUUGAAGUUGAAAGUGUAUGUGUGUGUGUGUGUGUGUGUGUGUGUGUGUGUACAGAGAGGUGUAAAGGCACUGUAGGGCUCCCAUAGCUCCAGGAAGGGGCUAUAGCAAGGAGGACUUGGGUUUAGAAUCCUAACUGCCCCAUUUAUCAGCUGCAUGACAUGACCUGGGGCAAGUUAUUUGAUACCACUCAGCCUGGGUUCUCCCACCUUCACAUGGGUGUAGUGACAGUGCCCAUCUUCUGGCGUUUUGAGGAAGGAUUCAAUGAGGUAAUGCACGUAAACCUCUCAACACGUCUAAGCUCUCAUUCUCAGUAAAUGUUUAUUGAGUUUAUUAUCAUUUUGCUGUUUUCUGUAGGAUUAUAACUCCCUGCUCUCCCCCUUUGCCCCCUCCAAACAAUUCUUUGUCCUGCACCCAGCCUCUUCCCUUCUUCAGAGGGUAGAAGCCUAGGAUUUGGUAGUUGUGACAAAUAGUUUGAAUCAGGGACAAUUGCCACAACUGCCAGUCAGCUCAGGGAGUAGAAAGAGUCAGCUGGUGGGUGGUAACUAGGGGAUCCCUAGCUGAUUUGGGGUAAAAAACAUGAAUCCUUGUUUUUUUAAGAAUCCUUGCCACCUGCUUUGGGCUUCUCCUUGCCUCCUUCAUUCUGAAAUGAGGUAGUUGGAAGCCUUACAACAUGAGGAAUGAGACACUGGGAGCAGAGUGCCCACCUUUGAAUUUCACAUGAGGUCCGGGCCUUGGAGGUCAGGGGGCUGGUGGGAAGACUGGACCCCUUUGGCUGGAAGCUUGCCCUUUGGGAUCUUGUAUGAGAGGGACUGGCAGGGGACGAGGUUCCCCUCAUUGUAGUUCUGAAGACUAGACCUUAGGGUUUCCCGCCUCUUUGCCUGAAACAACCCCCUGGCAUGUGGAGGGCGAGGCAGGGCAAAAACUCUUGACAGUUCAAGUCUUUGGUCUUUUUUGAUUUGUGGAGUCAAUAGGCCAGUGUUCCUUGAAAUAAAGUAAUAAUCCAUGCUCAUAGAGAGGAAAGAAAAAAAAAAAGAAAAUGCAGAUAAAAAUAAUGAAGAAUAAAAUAAUAAUAAAUUUAAUAAACAAAUAACUGAUUAUUUUUCAUCCGAAGAGAACCACAGUUGUUCUUUCCUACCUUUCCCUCUGCUCACAGGAAGGCUGUGGCCCCAGGAUUAAAUGUACAGGCUGGCUGAGCUGGACUCUAAUCCUCGCUAGACACAUGUGGGCUAGUCUCUAUGCCAUCUGAACCUCAUUUCCUCAACUGUAAAAUGAAAUUAAAAACAGCAUCUAGGAUACUAAAAAGUUCAUUUAAAAUUUUUUUCUAAAGAAAUGAUCUAUGUUAUAGGAUUGAAAUAAUGUCCGUGACUCAACAAGUGUUAGCUCUUAUCAUAGCAAAUAUAUAUUCUUAUGAGAAAAAUGACAUCACUCCACAGAUACUGUUUGCUACCUGCCUUUCUUUCUCCCAUUAGACAACAAUGUGAGUCUCUUUCCAGCAUUAACUAUUCUAUGAAGACCUUUGGAAGACCAGGCCUCAUUUACCGGUCACCCACUGAUGGACAUUCAGGUUACAUCCAGUAUUUCAUUACUAUAAUCAAAGCUGCAUUAACAUAACUGCAGCUAAAUCUUUGCACCCAGCCACAGUUAUUUCCUUGGAGCCAAGUUCAAGAAAUAGAAUUGCAGGAUUUUAAGGGCAGCCACAGUUUUAGGACUUUUGAUAACCUGUUGCCAAACUGCCCUCCAGAAAGACCAUACCAAGUUCCUUUCCCACCAGCCGAGAAUAAGAGUGACUAUUUCGCUGCAACAUCACCAACACCAGCUUUUAUCAUUUUUGUCCAUCUUUAAGCAAUUAUUCUUGAGCAAGGGAAUUUCUUUUAUCUGUCUGAUUCAACUGGGAACUCCCGGAGGGCAGGGCAGGGAGGUAGCUCCUUCAUCUCUGGGUAGCUCCUGUACCUAGUACAAGUUCUAUCCAAGGUAAACAUCAAGAAGUAUUUGAACUGAGUCUCAGAAGCCAAGAGUGAUUUUUUAAGUGCCCUGGGCAGGCAAUUCUUAUUAAGUGCAAGACCUAACAACCAAGGAUUCUACCUAGAUGAAAUUCAGGGACUAGACACAGAGGAAGACAAAGGCAUUUCCAGAAGCACAGCCCUGAUAUUCAGAUGUUAAUCAGCCAAGUGAUAAGUUCUGAGAUCAGCCUGGGUUGGGGCCACUGAUCUGCCAACAGAUUUGCAUGUGUAACUUGAGAUCCACUCCAGUUUCAAAUACUUAGGGGAGCUCUGAGCCAGGAUACCUGGGUUUCGCACUGUCACCAUUUUGGCGGUGGCCCAGGACACGUCACUUUAUCCUUUUGGGCUUGGUGUCCGUAUCUAUUUAGUGGGGAGCUGAAUAGUGUUUCCACUGAGGUAUAUCAACAAUCAUGGGAUGCUGUCUCCCUCGCCCUUCUAACAUCUACUGAGGAUUUAUUAUGCCUCCUAUCUGUGCUGGGGGCGGGCUAGCAUGACACAGAAGGAACUCUGGACAGCCUGGGUUCGAAACCCUCGCCCUGAAACACUGUCACCUGUAUGCACUUGGCAAUGGAACUAAUAAGACCUGCUGUGGAUGGUUUGGUGGGGAGAUUAAAUACGCUCAUCUGUGCAAAGCACUUAGGACACUACUUGGUGCCCAGUAAGCACUAAGUGCCAGCAACCAUUAUCUGAUUUAAACCUCACAGUAACGCUGUAAGAGAACUACUUAUCAUUGACUCCGUUUUAAAGAUGGAGGAACAUGGAGCAGAGAAGUUACACAAAUGGUAAGAUAAAAGCCAAGACUGAUCUCACGUCUAUCUGACUCAGGCCUCUUCACAUCUGUUUGACUCACGACUUUUUCAUUUAGAAUAUGAAAUAUUAAUGUUUAUUUAAAUAUUAACAAUUAUCAAAAUUAUAUUCAAAAUUAAAGCUGGAUAACACCCCAGAUCAUUUAAUCCAAUUCCCUCACCUGACAAGGCUCAGGGUGGAAGGGACCUGUCCAAGGACACAUAGUAGGGCAGUGACAGCACAGGGCCGGGGCUCCAGCCUCCCGAUGGCCACUCAGGAGCCAGGUGCCUGGUGCCAGGGGUAGGGAAGCCUCUCCUGUUGCUGCCUUUGUUCCUGGACUAGUGAGCAGAGCCCUGGAGCUUGUGGGAACAUGAGCAACUCUGCAGCCCAAAGCAGGCCAGGUGCCAGGAGAAGCCAUUGUUGUCAUUGGCCACUGCAAUUACUACUUUUGUCCAUAAUUCUAGGUCUGGGUCCCCUCCUGUGGAGGAAUAAUCUAAUGUCUCCUGCCUGGACUUGCCCUCUCUGCAGCUGCCCUCGGUGCCAAGGCAGGGUGACCAAAAGUGGCUGCUCACUUUGCUCCUCACUUGAGGUCUCCACUGCGCUGGGUGACCUAAGGAGGAGAAGCUGCCAGCAAGGGCCCCUGCCCUCCUCCUCAGCAGCUCAUGCCUUCCCUGCUUUGUUUACAGCCUAAUUUUUUUUUUAAGGAUAUAUUUUAUUUAACCUAACAUAUAAAAAAUAUGUUUCAACAUACAGUCAAUUUAAUAGAGUAUUAACAAGGUAUUUUAUAUUAUUUUUU